GGCCCGAUGGUUUAGUGGUAUAAUUCUCGCUUAGGGUUUGAUAAUCUUAUCUGCGAGAGGUCCCGGGUUCAAUUCCCGGUUGGGCCC
rnacentral:tRNA from 1 species